GCUCAAUGAUUUUUUAAAUUGCUGUGGUAUUUUGACUAUACAAAGGUAUUGUAAUAAGAUUUUAAUUGAAUGCUAAAAGAAUGGAAUUACAGGGAAAAGUUUUUUUAAAUUUAAUAAUAAAAGUUAUUUUAAUUUGUGAAGAAACAAUUAUGAAAAUUAAAGACAAGAAGACCCUAAGAAUUUAUGAAUUUUUAAUUAUGUAUAUGUAAAUUAUUUAUGCAAAUAAAAUUCUUAGUUGGGGCAACUAAAAAAUAUAUAAAACUUUUUAUUAUUUAAAAUGAUCCAUUAUUAAUGAUUAUAUGGAAAAAAUACUCUAGGGAUAACAGC
rnacentral:rRNA from 1 species